CACGAGGAGAAGAGCGGGAGUCAGGAGACCAAUUGACCGGAGUACAUUAACCCUCAGCUCUGCACCGUUGAGUUGAAUUCCGUUGCAUCCUGGGAGAAGAAGACCCCGCAUCACCAUGCGACCCGGUCGUCACACAGUGCCUCUCUUGUCAAAGUUAAGCUCUACUUUAGAGACGUUUUUUUAUUUAGACUCCUUUUUUUCUUUUUUACGACUCGUUUUAAAAAAACGUGACGCUUUGAAGAAAAAAAGCAUGAUGCUCUGAAGAAAAAAGAAAAAAAAAACAAGAAGCUCUGUCAUCAUAUAUUGGAAUAUGGGAUCCAUUAUUUACAUUUGUUUUAACUAUUAAAUGAACGAAAGAUAUGACUUAUUUUUAUCUUUGUGGAAAAUAUUGAACACAGUGUGUUGUCAAGCUUAUGAGAUGUGAUGCAAGUGUAAGCCACUGUGACACUAUUCUUAUUUUUGUUAUUUUUUAUAAAUGUCUGUAAUGGUAAUGUCAAUGAGGGAUUUUUAAUCACUGCUAUGUUGAAAUUGUUGCUAAUAUUGAUACUGUUGUUGAUAAUAUUCAUUUUUGUUUCACUACUCAUAGAUUAUUCUGUGUCAUGUUUGUGUCCUCUCAAUUGCUCUGUUUAUUGCUAUUCUGAAUGUUGCUUGGUCGGUUUUGGAAUUGGAUUGCAUUAUUAUGGUAUUGUUUUGUUGGAUUGAUUUAUAAUAAAUAAAAUAAAAAGCUCCGUCAGUGUGCUUAGUUUAGACCCCAAACCCAGCUGAAUAAUGAAACUGUCAGUAAAGUUAUACCACCAGCAUUUGUGAAAACAAUGACUGAGGCUGUACUUAGACUUAUAUUUGUUAUUUUGCAGUUAUUUUGUUUGACUAUUAAGCUAGAUAAUAAAACAAACAUCCAUGCCUGUAUGUCAUGCACUUGCAAAUUUAGGUCCAUCGGCCAGUAUAUAAAUGUAAUAACAUCAACAUGGUUUUGAUAAAUUGUAAAUACUUUCAAAUGUAUUUGUGUAAAAUGUUACAUGUUGAAUAGUCUUAACAGGCAUCUUACACAUUAACUUUGAUUUAAUCAAUGUUGGUGUAAUUUCUUGUAUCCUUUUAGAAUGAGGACUAUGACUAUGUGAUUGGAUGGAGGUUUAAAUAUUAUCACAGGUGGUUUGUAAAAUAUUUUUUUUGUGUGUGUUUUCAGGUUGCUGCAACAAAUAUGACUUGGCACUGCAAGUUGUGUUCAGCUUCUUUUACCAUUAUAUCAUAUUUAUUUAAACACCGUAGACUGUAGCACAGCCACUUUUCAAAAGUUAGCCCAGUCCCAUGCCUCCAUGAUGAUUGCAUGUGCACAUUUCACACACUUAGUGCACUGAGAACACAUCUGUCAAUAUAUCAUACUCAAGAACCUAAAAGCAGUGCAAACAAGAUUCAGGAACUUGUGACUUUCAAGUGUCCUUUAUGCACAUUUCAGCAACCUUUUUCUGACAGACUAUAGUUUUGUCCUGCCCACCUGUGAAAGAGCUAAUGGACCUCUGGCCUGCUCUUCAUAUGCCAUCUGAGGUCAUGUGGAUCAACUCUUUCAUCUGUUUUUAUCUUUGUCGGUACCUUGUCACAUUGUGUUUAGUGUUACCUUAUUUCGUUCAUCAUUAAAAAAAAAAAUGCUGUUACUGUACUGUUCUUUCUUCACUGCAGGUGUAUGCAGAGUUCCAACGGAUAACAAACCAGAACCUUCCUAACAUCUUCUAUGUGGAGCUGGAUCGCCACACUCCUCGUUUAAUGGCCUUAUUUAGACCGAAAGCUUCCCAAACUGGAAAGACUGCAGAUGCUUUGGCUGACAUUUUCAAAGUCCAUGAUGCACAGAUGAUAUGUAUGACCCAGACCUGGAGGAUGCAGCAGUGGUCCUCCUGACAAUCGUCAGUGCCGAUACUACGACCCAGUGAGAAUCUCUGUCGUCCUAGAGGGUGAUGUGGUGGUCGACCUCCACGGGCUUUCUGAUGCCUUCCUGGUGAUGUUCGGCCUUAUCUAUGCUUUACAUCUCAAUUAUCCUAUGGGACUAACCAACACAUUUAAGUUCACACAGAAAAUCAUACUUGAUGACUCUAAACUGUCACCCAAGCUGCAGAGUCUCAAAAAUGACCUGAUGUCACAUGUGUAACUCAAGACCCAAAAAGCAGGUGGAUUCAGAUGGCUCACUCUGUUAGAGCACAGUCCACAACGACAAUGUCAUUGACUGAUUUGACUGCUGUUCAACUGUUGAUGUUAAAGACGCUGCUCUACUCAACUGGUUUUAAGAUGAAUGGCACAAAGUACACACUGUCUUUGUACUUGUUAGUGGUUAGUGUAAUUCAUAUUUCAUUGAUGUUAAACUGAUAUGCACCCUGAAGUUGCUUUAAACCAAAUAGCCAAAGGAAGGCUACACACUGCCUUUGUACAGUUUUGGAGUUUUAGCAGUUUUCGUUGUGAAACGAAAGCUAAUUGUUUAUAUGUUGCUGCACUGCAAUUGUACAACCAGAUGGCCCAAAGUGUGCCGUUGUAAUUGUUUCUUUAAUUCUCUAUUUAAUUCUAAUAAUUUUAAUUCUAAUAAUUUUUUUUAUAACUAUUGUCUUUCAAAUAUUGUUUAUGCUUGAUCUUGUGCUAAAAGACACAGUAUAUUUCUAAACACCUUCCCGGUAAUGUUAUAUUAACAGUUUCUAAGCUAUUUAUGACAUGAAGAUCUUAUGUUAAUGUUAAUUUUAGCUUUUCUGGGUUUGAAUAUUUUCCAUUUGGACUGGAAAAGUUUGUAAUGAACAUUUGAAUGAAAUAUAGACUUGAUGUGUUUUGUUUGUUUGGUUUGUCUUUUAAGUCAAGAGUACUCAAUAUGUUUAUGUUAGAAUAAUUAUGUAUAAAUUAUCACACAACUCUUAUGCUUAAAGGCCGUUGCUAUAGUUAUUAUCAAUUGUGCUGAAGUUGUACCUUUCUAUCUGUGCAAAGGGACAACUUGCAAUCCAAGAUUGCGAGUCGUCUCGUAUCAGUGUUUGUGUCCAGACCCGGCCUGCUGACUGCCAAGAGCGAAUAUCGAGUGCCUUGACGCAGGCAAAGCAGAGACAGGGCGAUAUCACAAGUGUCAGCACAUUUCUAUUUCAUGAAUAAUCAUAUAUUGUGUCUAACUGGGGCUGCUGAAAUUACCCCCCUUCCUUCAGAAGCAGCCUCAGUGAUGUAACCAGGG